rnacentral:lncRNA from 1 species
AGUAGAGUGCCCAUGCGUUGCCACGGGCUCUUGAAAUAGUAUGCAAGUGUUACAUGUUAAAAUUCACAUGUACAAAAAAUAUAACACAAACACAAUUAUUGAAUAAUUGAAGUCUAUUUUUGCAAUGUAAAUUGAUAACAAAAAGAAAGAUUAACGACAUGUCCAUGUAACAAACUGAGUGAUGUUUCAACUAAACAUCUUUUACAAAACUAUCAAUAUCUAGAUGAUGCGCUUAAGAAAUUCUUUCACAAUGUCAGGAAAAUUGCCUUUAGCUUCAUUUCCCACGAUGUUUUAGCAAGUAUGAUAAAAACCGCUUCCUCAAAUCAUACCCAUCCUGCACAAACAAUAUAUGUAGUUAGUAUGAAAAUUUCACGCCUUAGGUCUCAAAACAUGUAACGGAUGCGUUGCCACUGGCAUUUCAAAAAAAAUACUGGUUGCAUAUAUAAUCAUAAGGCAUGUCAAUUUUCCAGCUUGGCAUAGAAAGUGAGUCUAAAAUAGUUGCUUAGUUAUUCUGAUAAUCUUGCUUAUACAAUUAUGAUAGUUACGAUAAUCACCUAGGAGUUUCAAUUUUUGAAAGGAAAAAACAACAACAAUCAUUAGGCCCUUAAGAAAUCACGACAUGAGUUCUGAAUCUGACCAGCUACAAGAUAUAUCCUUCCUAAUAUUCAGAUCUAGUGGGAAAAACUACUACCCAACAAUAUACAUACAAUAUAAACUACUACUCAAAUUUGCACUAACAGAAUAGCCAGCUUCUUGAUUUGAGCUCCACGGAGUUUGCUCGUUCGGCUCAACUUCACUGCGGAGUUAAUGGAAGUUGAGAGCCGGAGCAUUGCCGAACAGGCCCUUAGUACAAACUGUUGCCAAACUUGAGAGCAUCAGAGUCAUAAGGUUCAUAACUGAAAGUCAAUAUAACAUGUUAGUUGCAACCUUAUUUGGUUUCACCAUAUCUGAACAUACACAUGCACUUGCUCUCUUUUUGCACCAUGGCACAAAAUUUGUGAUACAAGCAAAAGGAGUUCGCUUCCAUGGUUUUGUUCUGGCGCCAUUCUCAAUGCGCCGUUCAUUCACACGCAAUGGAAUUAUCUAUACCAUUAUAUAUGUACAGGAUGCAUAAUGAAGUAUAAGCAUAAUCUUUCUUUUUGUUAAAAACAUUGGCUUUGUGUACAUAGAUUAAUAAAACAUAUAUCCUAUAAACUCACAUAUGCUUCAAAUUUGUUUCAUAUAAAUUUAAUAAUUUGAUGCAACAAUUCAAUAAUGAGUCAUUCUAACAGAACUUUGAACUUUUAUCGUGUUUGACAAAAUAUCUCAUAGUUUUCUGUACUUUUAAUAGUGUUUCAUUGUGUUUUAGAAUUUGAUUUUUUUAGAACAUGCUGAGACACAUUCAGAAGUGGUGUUGUUUUGAAGUUCUCCUCGUCAUAAUCACAAUAUGCAAACGGAUCAUAAAUUGUACUUUUGGUUUGAAAGAUAAAAUCGUCUUAAAGUUGGAAAUAAAAUAACAAAGAAUGGGAUGGUGGAGCUUGCAUGUGGUCAGAGAAAGAUCUCACAAACUACAAACGGUAUUAAUGCGAAAAGGAUUAAGAAGAUCAAAACCAGCCGAAUAAGAAGAAUAGUAAUACAAAGAGCACCUAGGGGACUCACAUGUGCCUUAUGGCAUGUUCGUUCCCUCACAUCAUAUAUCCCACAUGCUAAAAGUAAUGGAAGUUAACACAAGCAGAUAUAGAAGACAAUGGUCGUUGCAGUUCCUGCCUCAUAUGUGGUUGUCUUGCUGAGAUUUAAAUAAUAUAAGAGGGGAUUAACAAAAUACCUGCAUACUAUAGGGAUUCUCCUCACGGACAUGGAGGAAAGGGGCAUCAGGCACAAGCGCCUUGUGCGGUUCUAGAUAUGGUAGGAUAUCUUCACCCAUAGACGUUGAUAUGUGUACAACCUUCUGCUGCCUCAAAAGCACACGAUGCACAACAUCGAAACAUCCGAACUCUGAAACAAAUCAGAGCAUGCCACAGGAUCCUCGGACAGGGUCAGACACAAAUAAUGUUGUAGGCACGGAAUUUUCCUCAUCCAUAUCUACACAUAACGCAGCAUGUGCACAAAACAACUCACAGUGGGAUAAAAUUUUUGGCUGCAAGUGUUCAGAUAAAAGGCAAAAGAUGCAGUACCUCAGACCAUCCACUAUUUUUAAAGAUUAUAAAACAUCUUCGAGGCAUUCCUCCAACUUAUCCUUAAAUCAUUUCCACCAUCGAAAUUGAAAAUAACUGCAGAACUCAAUAGAUAUAUACUCCAUGUAUAGCUCAACAUGCCCUGCACAGUUCCAUAUGUGUGCUCUCAAGACAACAGGAAAAUAAAAACAUGUCCAUGGAGUUGGAUAGUCAAAGAUACAUAAUAAACCAAAAAGAAUCAGUAGCAAAUCAUGACUAAUGCAGAUGGCCAAGCUAAUUGGGAACGGUUCAUCACAUGGACAAACAUUAAUACAACAUGGAGAGAGAUAAAUUUUCACAAUGAAUCUCUGUGUGCUCAGAUGGCAAAC